rnacentral:rRNA from 1 species
AUGUCUCAUAUUCAUCUAGUAUUGGAAAUCUUUGUGUUAUGCACCAUAUUUUUUGUGCAUCAAGGCCUGGCAGAUCAACUUACUCUAAAUACCCAUGAGGAAAAUAUGGAUGCAUCAUCGAUGCUCAAUAGUAUGAAGGAAAACCCAACAAAUUCACAAUAUAUGGAUUGCAAUUUUAGUUCAACGGAUAUUAUAUAUAUGCCUCAGAUAUCAUAUGCACAAGCUUUACCAUCAAAAAAUGAUGAUGACACAAAAUAUUAUUUUGCCGUACAUUUGACGGAUGAUAAUGACAAGGGAUACUAUGGAAUAUCUGCUAACAUGGAUGUGUAUGGACACAAUCUUAAUGUCGGGCAACUGUCAGCGGGUGCAAUUUGGAUUCAUAACUGGGAAGGUGAUGUUAACAAAAAACUCAAUACAAUUAUUGUUGGUUGGGUGGUUUGGCCAUAUCGGUUUAAUGACUCGCGUACUCCCCUUUUUACGGUUUGGACAAAAGAUAAUCAUCGAAGUACAGGGUGUGUCAACCUUGAUUGUCCUGGCUUUAAAGUCGUGAAGGGGUCCCCCAUAUCUCCCGGUGAUAUCAUAAGCCCUAUCUCUGGUAUCAGUAGGAAACGCCAAACGAUUACUAUUAGAGUGUCCAAGGAAAGUUCAAGUGGGGACUGGUGGUUGUACUAUGGCAUCAACGGUGUCCCAAUUCGAGUAGGUUACUUCCCAGCAUCACUAUUUGAUAGCUUAUCUACGAAAGCCACUCAAAUCUCAAUUGGAGGCCAUGCUCGAAGUACUAAAAAUACUAUAGCUCCUCCUAUGGGAAGUGGAGCCUUUGCCUCUAACCCUGGUCAAGCUGCAUCUAUCCAUGAUAUCUGGCUCAUCCACAAGGAUCGUAGAAGCACCCCAAUUGGCAAUGAUGCACGCACUAAAGUUACAGAUGGCAAGCUCUACUCUGCUUCACCCAUAGGAAGAGCGCAAUUCUUUUAUGGAGGACCGGGAGGGAAAUCUUAG